UUUGAUAAUAGAAGGAACAAAAUAACAUGCAUCUAAUGCAAUAAAAGCUCCACUAGGCAGAUGUAGGGAGACCUCGCCAACAGCUAAUACAGCAACUUUUGCUCCAUUACCCAUCUUGAGGUCCAUCUCGCCUCUCUCUAGUCUCCUAGGCCUUGCUAGAACCUGCAACGAAUUGCAUAUAUGAUAAGCACUACCGGUAUCCAAUACUCAUGUGUUAUCAUAAGAGUCUGACAAAUGGAGACUAAUCAUGAAUGUACCUGAAGCUUCAUCAAGCUUUUGUUUCGCCCUUUCUGCAAGGUACUCUUUGCAGUUCCUCUUCCAGUGCCCAUCUUUACCACAGUGGAAGCAUUGGCCUUUGUCCUUUACUGGGUCUUUCUUAGCAACUUUUGCUUUACCUGGUCU
rnacentral:lncRNA from 1 species